GUCUACUGGGAUGGCUCAGUUGGUAGAACCUGAGACUCUUAAUCUCAGGGUCAUAGGUUUGAAUCCUACCUUGGGCA